rnacentral:misc_RNA from 1 species
GAACGCACAUUGCGCCCGCCAGUAUUCUGGCGGGCAUGCCUGUUCGAGCGUCAUUUCAACCCUCAAGUCCCCUGUGGACUCGGUGUUGGGGACCGGCGAGACAGCCGCGGAUCUUCUUCCGCAGCGAGUCGCCGCCCCCCAAAUGACUUGGCGGCCUCGUCGCGGCCCUCCUCUGCGUAGUAUAGCACACCUCGCAACAGGAGCCCGGCGAAUGGCCACUGCCGUAAAACCCCCCAACUUUUUCAGAGUUGACCUCGAAUCAGGUAGGAAUACCCGCUGAACUUA